AGCCGCGGGGAUCGCCGAGGG
rnacentral:miRNA from 1 species